UAAAGCUUGAUUUGAUUUUCA
rnacentral:miRNA from 2 species